rnacentral:ncRNA from 1 species
GAUUGCAUCUAUUAAUCUUCUCUGUAAUCGCGGCUG